rnacentral:rRNA from 1 species
GCAGCAUAACAUUUCGGUGUUGAUGGCGACCGGCGAACGGGUGCGUAAUGCGUAUGCAACUUGCCUCGCACUAGGGGAUAGCUUUUGGAAACAGAAAUUAAUACCCUAUAUAAUGUUUUAACCGCAUGGUUUUAAUAUGAAAGAAUUUCGGUGUGAGAUAGGCAUGCGUCCUAUUAGCUCGUUGGUGAGGUAAUGGCUCACCAAGGCAAAGAUAGGUAGGGGGUCUGAGAGGAUGUCCCCCCACACUGGUACUGAGAUACGGACCAGACUCCUACGGGAGGCAGCAGUAGGGAAUAUUGGUCAAUGGGCGAAAGCCUGAACCAGCUAUGCCGCGUGCAGGAUGAAGGUCUUUUGAUUGUAAACUGCUUUUAUGUAGAAAAAACAAGUCUCUGAGGAGGCCCAUGAUGGUACUACAUGAAUAAGCACCGGCUAACUCCGUGCCAGCAGCCGCGGUAAGACGGAGGGUGCAAGUGUUAUCCGGAUUUACUGGGUUUAAAGGGUGUUAAGGCGGUCGUAUAAGUCGAUAGUGAAAGCUAGCAGCUCAACUGUUAAGGUGCUAUCGAUACUGUACGACUUGAGUCUAGUGGAAGUAAGUGGAAUUCUGCAUGUAGCGGUAAAAUGCUUAGAUAUGCAGAGGAACACCAAUAACGAAGGUAGCUUACUAUGCUACGACUGACGCUGACACACGAAAGCGUGGGGAGCAAACAGGAUUAGAUACCCUGGUAGUCCACGCUGUAAACGAUGGUCACUCGAUGUGCGUCCCUUGAGGAUGUGUGUCUAAGCGAAAGCGUUAAGUGGCCCACCUGGGGACUACGUUCGCAAGAA